rnacentral:rRNA from 1 species
GAGCGAACGCUGGCGGCGUGCCUAAUACAUGCAAGUCGAGCGAGAAAGCCUCUUCGGAGGUGAGUAAAGCGGCGCACGGGUGAGUAACACGUGGGCAACCUACCCUUGAGUCUGGGAUAACCCGGGGAAACUCGGGCUAAUACCAGAUACGGCUGCGGGGUCCUCGGAUCCUGCGGAGAAAGAUGGCCUCUUCUUGAAAGCUAUCUCUCGAGGAUGGGCCCGCGUCCUAUUAGCAGUUGGUGAGGUAACGGCUCACCAAGGCAAAGAUGGGUAGCUGGUCUGAGAGGAUGGCCAGCCACACUGGAACUGAGACACGGUCCAGACUCCUAC